rnacentral:rRNA from 1 species
UUUGUAGUAUUAUCUUAGUUUAGUAACUAAAAUGGUUUGGCAGUGAGUGAUUCUUUUUAGGGGAAGGUGUGGUGUAAAGGAUGUUCCGCCUAUUAAUUUACUUUUAUUAUGUUGGUGUAUAUCUGGUUUAAUAUUAUUGUUGAAUAAUAUAAGUUUGUGUAAUUUAUUAGUUAAGCCAAGUCUAUGUGCUGCUUAUAGAAGUAUUCAUGCGUUACUUUAAUAAAGUUUUAGUUGUAAGCACUAUUAUAUUUAGGACUUAAAAGUAAUGUUAAAUUAGUUUGUUAAUGUGAAAUAAGUUUAGCUCACGUACACACCGCCCGUCA